ACGUUUCACAGUUGCGAACUAUUUUAUGAAAUGACUUAUUGGUGAUGGCUUAAAAUUUUAUUCGGUUUUCUGAAUAAAAUUUGGGAGUGAAUUGUAACUUUUGUGGAAGUCAAUCGUGUAUAAAUGGGUUACACCAUUAGAUUAAUACUAUAUUUUUUAUUUAAUUAUAAGUAGUUAGUAACUAAUUAAAGGAGUACGUCAUGGUUUGGUUAAAUUCUAAUUAGUACACGGCGUGUUUUUGGUGGUUGAGAAAAUAAUGCGAGUCUGGUGAGUACAACUUUGUAAAACGCACAGUUUUAGUUUGUUUUAAAAUUUAUCCCAUUUAUUUUAUUAUUAAUGUUAAUUUAUUUUAUAGAUACCAAUUAAUACGCUGUCUGCUGUAAACACAUUUUUAGAAAACAAUGUAGCGGGACGGAAGAGAGUACAGGUGUCAGAAGGACCCGGAGAACCAACAAGGGUCAGAUUAGGCCCUUACGCCAGAAGACGGGCCCAUAAGCAAGUAGUCAUAGUCCAGGAGCCUGCCGAGCAAGGCCCUCAAGAAUCCAACUAGAGCUAUUUAUUCGAGACUUAGUACCUGAAGUUACUAAAUUAUAUUUUACUUUCUGAAAAAGAAAGAUAAUUUUGUACAAACUGCAUCACAAAUAUAACAUACAUGUGUAAAUAUUUUAAUUUAAUAUAUUAAACAAACGUUUAAAAUAA